rnacentral:lncRNA from 1 species
UAGCAGUGGGUGGAACGUGAGUGGAACGUGGACUAGGUGGAUUCCAGGUGGCACAGGCUUUGAAUGGGGCUCCGAGUGGUGAAAAAUCGCUGGUUCGAAUCCUGUUUAUGCAGCUUGAGAGAGCCCUGACAGAGCACAAUUGGCCUUGCUCCCUCUGGAACCUUUCUGGGCUCCUGAAAGCCAGCAGAUAUAUCAGCAACAAGCGAGCAGAGGGGCUGUCUCACAGUGAGAUUUUUCACCCUUUCCACGUUUCAAACAGUCCAAUUCGUCUCAUUUGAAUGAUUUACUCUCGCGCAUGAAAGAGCCUGGUGGAAGGGCUAUUGAUCGGGCAUAUUUAGGACCCGCUGCUUUGGCUAAAUGUUAUUCUCUGCACCUCUCAGAUGCGUGCGAUUCCAUCAUAAAAAUACAAUAAUCCUCUGCGCUGUAAUAAGGUCAUACGUGCGUGAAAGCAUGCUCUAGUUACUCACCUCUGCGAGUCUGAAAACAACGAUGCGUCCACUAUCAUUCAUCUUCAGAAAUGCGUACAGGCAAUAAAAGAGGCUGAGGCAUGCA